rnacentral:misc_RNA from 1 species
AAAACUCUCCCCCCGUGCAGGUGUCUUCCGGCACAUGGGGGGUUUCUGGUGGAUGCCCACACCUUCAACUGUGUGCGCACCGCCCAAAUCCGCUGUCCGCGAGCCUGAGGAUUGCAGUCGACGUAGUGAGAUUGAAUCUCGUUGGCUGUAAAACCUGACAGAGGCAACGGGACCAUAAGCGCUUUGGCGCCAACACUGUGAC